GAUGAACGCUGGCGGCGUGCCUAAUACAUGCAAGUCGAGCGAACAGACGAGGAGCUUGCUCCUCUGACGUUAGCGGCGGACGGGUGAGUAACACGUGGAUAACCUACCUAUAAGACUUGGAUAACUUCGGGAAACCGGAGCUAAUACCGGAUAAUAUAUUGAACCGCAUGGUUCAAUAGUGAAAGACGGUUUUGCUGUCACUUAUAGAUGGAUCCGCGCCGCAUUAGCUAGUUGGUAAGGUAACGGCUUACCAAGGCAACGAUGCGUAGCCGACCUGAGAGGGGGAUCGGCCACACUGGAACUGAGACACGGUCCAGACUCCUACGGGAGGCAGCAGUAGGGAAUCGGCCGCAAUGGGCGAAAGCCUGACGGAGCAACGCCGCGUGAGUGAUGAAGGUCUUCGGAUCGUAAAACUCUGUUAUUAGGGAAGAACAAAUGUGUAAGUAACUAUGCACGUCUUGACGGUACCUAAUCAGAAAGCCACGGCUAACUACGUG
rnacentral:rRNA from 1 species